rnacentral:rRNA from 1 species
AGAGAGAGACAUGCGCGCAUAUCAAUAAGCGGAGGAAAAGAAACUAACUAGGAUUCCCUCAGUAACGGCGAGUGAAGCGGGAAGAGCUCAAAUUUGAAAUCUUAAAGGUUUCCCUUGACGAAUUGUAGUUUAAAGAAGUGUUUUCUGUUGGAGGUUUUGGUAAAAGUUCUUUGGAAUAGGACAUCAUAGAGGGUGAGAAUCCCGUAUUUGACCAUUAUUUCCAGCUUUGUGAUACACUUUCAAAGAGUCGGAUUGUUUGGGAAUGCAGUCCAAAAUGGGUGGUAAAUUUCAUCUAAAGCUAAAUAUUGGCGAGAGACCGAUAGCGAACAAGUACCGUGAGGGAAAGAUGAAAAGAACUUUGAAAAGAGAGUUAAACAGUACGUGAAAUUGUCAAAAGGGAAGCGUUUGACAUCAGUGUUGUUUUUCUGAAAAUCAAUUAAAGAACUGUUUAUGCUAAGCUGUUUAGACUUUAUCAGCUAUCUGUUUAGUUUUGAGCUUUUCUUUAAUGCACUUUUCAGUUAACAAGUCAACAUCAAUUUCUUUUGCUGUAAAAAAGCUUGAGGAAGGUGGCUUGAGAUUCGUCUUAAGUGUGUAUAGCCUCUUGCCUAUGCAGUCGGAGAGAUUGAGGUCUGCAGCGUAGAUCCUUCGGGGCUAAAUGCAUUUGUGCUAAGUUAUAGCAUUUUAUAGACAACUUGUUGACUAUGAUUUGUCUUGUAGCUUACUCGCUUAUGUUAUUUUACCUACGCUUAGGAUGUUGAUGUGAUACUGCGAGCA